rnacentral:rRNA from 1 species
GACAGCAGUAGCCACGGUAAUACGAAGGGUGCAAGCGUUACUCGGAAUUACUGGGCGUAAAGCGUGCGUAGGUGGUGGUUUAAGUCCGUUGUGAAAGCCCUGGGCUCAACCUGGGAAUUGCAGUGGAUACUGGGUCACUAGAGUGUGGUAGAGGAUAGUGGAAUUUCCGGUGUAGCAGUGAAAUGCGUAGAGAUCGGAAGGAACAUCUGUGGCGAAGGCGACUAUCUGGGCCAACACUGACACUGAGGCACGAAAGCGUGGGGAGCAAACAGGAUUAGAUACCCCCGUAGUCCCUGUCUCUUAUAC